rnacentral:rRNA from 1 species
UACGUAGGGGGCAAGCGUUGUCCGGAUUCAUUGGGCGUAAAGGGCGCGUAGGCGGUUUGUUAAGUCGGUUGUGAAAGCCCGGGGCUCAACCCCGGAGAGUCGACCGAUACUGGCAGACUAGAGUACAGAAGAGGUAGCUGGAAUUCCUGGUGUAGCGGUGAAAUGCGUAGAUAUCAGGAGGAACACCUGAGGCGAAGGCGGGCUACUGGGCUGAUACUGACGCUGAUGCGCGAAAGCCAGGGGAGCAAACGGG